rnacentral:misc_RNA from 1 species
GUUCGCUCGUAAAACACAUAAUUAGAAGUAAUAUGAUUAGCAACUUGAUUGUCACAUCACAAUCUCACAAGUUGUAAGGCUUGAAGACCAACUUCAUCUAGUGAAGACCAACUUCAUCUAGUAACUGAAGUAUCCAUAUUACUUCAUGCACUGAUUGAGCCAUUACUUUGUAUUAUGAUUCAGCGCUAGAUUGAGAGACCACAUUCUGUUUCUUCUUCCAAGACACCAAAUUUUCUCUAACAAAAACACAGUAUCUUGUAGUUGACCUUUUGUCAGUUUUAAAUCCUGCCAAAUAUGCAUAUGAAAAACGCUCAAUAUUCAAAUGCCCAUGAUUUGUAUAUGAUAAGCCUUGUCCUGGAGCUCCUUUCAAAUAAUACAAGAUUUGCCCCAAAGCUUCCCAAUGAGCAACAUCUGGGAAAGACAUAAAUUAACUUACUACACUAACAGAGUAUGCAAUAUCAAGGCGAGUUACUGUAAGAUAAUUCAAUUAACCCUCCAGUCUCCUAUACUUUUUUGGAUCAUCAAACAACUCACCUUCUCCUGCUAUGAGUUGUCAAUGGUACACUCCAUGGCUAGGCACCUAAUUUCCCCAUUUCUUCCAAUAGAUCAAUGACAUACUUUCUUUGGAACAAGAAAAUACCAUUCAUACUUCUUAUAACUUCAAUAUCCAAGAAAUAUUUUAACAAGCCCAAGUCUUUCGUUUGAAAUUGGGUAUGAAGGAAAAGGAUUUUAGGGGUGAGAUACCUGCAGAGUCACUUCUAAUGAUUGCAAUAUCAUCCACAUAAACAACUAACAUAAUUAAGCUAGCCUUAGACUACUUAUAAAUACUAAAUGAUCAUAUUUACUCUUUUGUAUGUCAAACUCCUGUACCACUUUACUAAAUCUCCCAAACUAAGCUCGAGGACUUUGUUUGAGACCAUAAAGAGAUUUCCAAAACCGAUAAACUUUACCUAGCUGCCUCCUGAGCAACAAAUCUAGGUGGUUGCUUCAUGUAUACCUCCUCCUAAAGAUCGCCAUGAAGGAAAUCAGUUUUGAUAUCCAACUAAUCAAAGGCCAAUUAUAUGUAGCUGCCAGAGAUAUAAAUAAGCGAACAGAAACAAAUUUCUUACAGGAAAAAAAGUGUUAGUAAUUAACUCUAUAUGUCUGAGCAUACCUUUUGGCUAUAAGAUGGGCUUUUAACCUACCCACAAAACUAUCAAGAUUCACCUUCAUUGUAAAUAGCCAUUUAUAUCCAAUAGCUUUCUUACUUACUAGAGUAUAAAGGUACUAGUUCCUAUGUAUCAUUAGCAUCUAAAGUUUCCGUUUUCUUUUUCAUAUCAACAUAGUAGCUAGGAUAGGACAAUGCCUCACCAACAGUUUUAGGAAUAGAAAUUUUGUCUAGAGAUGUAACAAACACUGAAAACUAGAAAACAAAUAAUCAUGAGAAACUAAUGAGGAAAUAGGAUAAGUACAUGUGCGUUUACCUUUACGAAGAGCAUUUGGUAAAUCAGGGUCGAAAUUAGGACUAGAAACUGGAUCUCCCAACGAAGAAGCCGGUAG